rnacentral:tRNA from 1 species
GCCUUCGUGGUGUAGUGGUCAGCACGCUUGGCGCGUAACCGAGGGUCCGUGGUUCGAGUCCCGGUGAGGGUA